UCACGUGACAAGAGUUCUUAUAUACGUAGUUCACCGCAAUACUUGGCAUUUGUAUGAAAAUGAACUCAGGAGGUUGGUGUGUUUUGAGAGCUGGUGAAGACUACAGACGUCGACAAGCAAUGGCAAUGCCUUCAGUGCUCCAUAUCCUCCUCAUCUUUUCCCUGGUGGGCCACAGCUUUGCAGAGGAUGAGGCUUCUCCUCGAGGCUGUGGCUCCCUCCUAACGAGGCCAUUCACCAAGCUGUGCGACCUGGACGCAGUGUGGGGUGUAGCGGUGGCAGUGGCGGCAGGCGUGGCGGUCCUGGCCUCGCUGAUCCUGGCCCUGGUGCUGUUGUGCCGCCUGCGACGCAUCACAGAGCCUGAGGCUCGCAGCGGAGUGGCACCUCUGAUCCUGCUCCUAGCCACCAUUAUCAUGCUCUCUGCUCUCAGCUUUGUCCAUGUCAUGGAGAGUGAAGAGCAUGUGUGCAUUGCCCGACACUCCCUCUGGGGGGCACUCUUACUCCUUAGCAUUGCAUACCAAGCGACCCAGGGUGUGCGAUUGCUCCGGUGCCCCUGCUUCAGGGCCAUGGCGGGGGUGGCGAUAGGCCUGGCUGUAGUGCUGGGUCUUGCUAGUGUUGAGUGGAUCCUGGCGAUUGCACUACACCGAGGCCUGCCCGUUUGUCAGUAUCAGCCGCUGCGCAUCAGCUUGGUCUGCAUAUACGUGGUGACCCUACUGUUGGCAGUACCAAUUGCCUUGACCCGUGGCCUGACUCGGGGGCAGCCACAGUGGAAAUGUAGAAUUCUCAGCCUGUUUAUUAUGUGCUACAUCUCUGCUGUGGUGUGGGCCAUAUUUUUAACAUACCAGCUAUACAACAAAUCGCUUCCUGUCCAGUCCCCUAACAAGGAAGACGAGAUGCUGGCAAAGAUGCUGGUGGUGCAGGCCUGGCUGCUGCUGGUGCUCCAUGCCACUCCUGAAGCUCAUGCCUGCCUGCGCUCAGCCUCACAGCCUUCGGGUCUGGUUGAUAUUGCCAUGCAGGCCCAGCCCCGCUCGAGGGAAGCCAGUGUGGAAGAGGGCCUUCCCCUGUCCCCCCAGCCUAGUGUAGAGAGCCAGGGCUCUCCAUCGCACAGCAGCUCAGCUGGUUCUGGAAGUCAGUGGCCCAGCACAUCCUUCCAUAUGGAGAUGAGCAGCAACGCAGUGAGUGCAUCUCCUCAUUCAGCACCUCACACACAGACACAAGGGGGCAACCCAAACACUGCACUGAACAUUCAGCUUUGGUCUACAGGCCUUUCCUUGUUCCUCAGACCUCACCUGACCAGAGCCUAAAUACCAUGGAUGCAGGUCAAAUUAGAACUGGGCUGCACCCCCAUCAGUCCGAGUUACAUCAUGCUGUUUAGGGGGUGCAUGUAUACACAAGUAGCCCUCAGCAAUCCCAGUCAAAACUUUUAAGUGUCACCACUGAACUGCUGAAGGAUGUUUAUAAGGUCAGUAAAUACUUGUCUCUCAUCUGCAGGAGCCCAUGCCCUCCA